UACGUAGGGGGCAAGCGUUGUCCGGAUUUAUUGGGCGUAAAGAGCGUGUAGGCGCCAGACAGGUCCGUUGUGAAAACUCGAGGCUCAACCUCGAGACGCCGAUGGAAACCGUCUGGCUAGAGUCCGGAAGAGGAGAGUGGAAUUCCUGGUGUAGCGGUGAAAUGCGCAGAUAUCAGGAAGAACACCCGUGGCGAAGGCGGCU
rnacentral:rRNA from 1 species